UAGAGCAGGUAGCCUAGUGGUUAGAGCAGGUAGCCUAGUGGUUAGAGCAGGUAGCCUAGUGGUUAGAGCAGGUUGCCUAGUGGUUAGAGCAGGUUGCCUAGUGGUUAGAGCAGGUAGCCUAGUGGUUAGAGCAGGUAGCCUAGUGGUUAGAGCAGGUUGACUAGUGGUUAGAGCAGGUAGCCUAGUGGUUAGAGCAGGUUGCCUAGGGGUUAGAGCAGGUAGCCUAGUGGUUAGAGCAGGUAGCCUAGUGGUUAGAGCAGGUAGCCUAGUGGUUAGAGCAGGUAGCCUAGUGGUUAGAGCAGGUAGCCUAGUGGUUAGAGCAGGUAGCCUAGUGGUUAGAGCAGGUAUCCUAGUGGUUAGAGUCUAGUGGUUAGAGCAGGUAGCCUAGUGGUUAGAGCAGGUAGCCUAGUGGUUAGAGCAGGUAUCCUAGUGGUUAGAGUCUAGUGGUUAGAGCAGGUAGCCUAGUGGUUAGAGCAGGUAGCCUAGUGGUUAGAGCCUAGUGGGUAGAGCAGGUAGCCUAGUGGUUAGAGACAGGUAGCCUAGUGGUUAGAGACAGGUAGCCUAGUGGUUAGAGACAGGUAGCCUAGUGGUUAGAGACAGGUAGCCUAGUGGUUAGAGACAGGUAGCCUAGUGGUUAGAGACAGGUAGCCGAGUGGUUAGAGGCAGGUAGCCUAGUGGUUAGAGGCAGGUAGCCUAGUGGUUAGAGGCAGGUAGCCUAGUGGUUAUAGGCAGGUAGCCUAGUGGUUAGAGACAGGUAGCCUAGUGGUUGGAGGCAGGUAGCCUAGUGGUUAGAGCAGGUAGCCUGGUGGUUAGAGGCAGCUAGCCUAGUGGUUAGAGCAGCUAGCCCAGUGGUUAGAGCAGGUAGCCUAGUGGUUAGAACAGGUAGCCUAUUGGUUAGAGCAGGUAGCCUAGUGGUUAGAGCAGGUAGCCUAGUGUGGUUAGAGCAGGUAGCCUAGUGGUUAGAGCAGGUAGCCUAGUGGUUAGAACAGGUAGCCUAUUGGUUAGAGCAGGUAGCCUAGUGGUUAGAGCAGGUAGCCUAGUGGUUAGAGCAGGUAGCCUAGUGGUUAGAGCAGGUAGCCUAGUGUGGUUAGAGCAGGUAGCCUAGUGGUUAGAAGCAGGUAGCCUAGUGGUUAGAGGCAGGUAGCCUAGUGGUUAGAGACAGGUAGCCUAGUGGUUAGAGACAGGUAGCCUAGUGGUUAGAGCAGGUAGCCUAGUGGUUAGAGCAGGUAGCCUAGUGGUUAGAGCAGGUAGCCUAGUGGUUAGAGCAGGUAGCCUAGUGGUUAGAGCCUAGUGGUUAGAGCAGGUAGCCUAGUGGUUAGAGCCUAGUGGUUAGAGCAGGUAGCCUAGUGGUUAGAGCCUAGUGGUUAGAGCAGGUAGCCUAGUGGUUGGAGCAGGUAGCCUAGUGGUUGGAGCAGCUAGCCUAGUGGUUAGAGCAGGUAGCCUAGUGGUUAGAGCAGCUAGCCUAGUGGUUAGAGACAGGUAGCCUAGUGGUUAGAGCAGGUAGCCUAGUGGUUAGAGCAGGUAGCCUAGUGGUUAGAGACAGGUAGCCUAGUGGUUAGAGCAGGUAGCCUAGUGGUUGGAGUAUAGUGGUUAGAGCCUAGUGGUUAGAGCAGGUAGCCUAGUGGUUGAUCAGCUAGCCUAGUUGUUAGAACCUAGUGGUUAGAGCAGGUAGCCUAGUGGUUAGAACAGGUAGCCUAUUGGUUAGAGCAGUUAGCCUAGUGGUUAGAGCAGGUAGCCUAGUGGUUAGAGCAGGUAGCCUAGUGGUUAGAGCAGGUAGCCUAGUGGUUAGAGGAGGUACAGGGUCUACAGUCAAUCACGGACUACAGGAAGAAACCCAGCCCAGUCACGGACCAGGAUGUCUUGCUCCCAGGCAGACUAAAUAACUUUUUUGCCCGCUUUGAGGACAAUACAGUGCCACUGACACGGCCUGCAACGGAAACAUGCGGUCUCUCCUUCACUGCAGCCGAAGUGAGUAAGACAUUUAAACGUGUUAACCCUCGCAAGGCUGCAGGCCCAGACGGCAUCCCCAGCCGCGCCAUCAGAGCAUGCGCAGACCAGCUGGCCGGUGUGUUUACGGACAUAUUCAAUCAAUCCCUAUACCAGUCUGCUGUUCCCACAUGCUUCAAGAGGGCCACCAUUGUUCCUGUUCCCAAGAAAGCUAAGGUAACUGAGCUAAACGACUACCGCCCCGUAGCACUCACAUCCGUCAUCAUGAAGUGCUUUGAGAGACUAGUCAAGGACCAUAUCACCUCCACCCUACCUGACACCCUUGACCCACUCCA
ensembl:lncRNA